UACGGAGGGUGCGAGCGUUGUCCGGAAUCACUGGGCGUAAAGGGCGCGUAGGCGGCCGGCCAAGCGUGCGGUGAAAGUCCGGGGCUCAACCCCGGAUCUGCCGUGCGGACUGGUUUGCUAGAGCACUGUAGAGGCGAGUGGAAUUCCGGGUGUAGCGGUGGAAUGCGUAGAGAUCGGGAGGAACACCAGUGGCGAAGGCGGCCUUCUGGACCAGCACUGACACUCAAGCACGAAAGCGUGGGGAGCAAACAGG
rnacentral:rRNA from 1 species